AUUGAACGCUGGCGGCAGGCUUAACACAUGCAAGUAGAACGAGUGGCGGACGGGUGAGUAAUGCUUGGGAAUCUAGCUUAUGGAGGGGGAUAACUACGGGAAACUGUAGCUAAUACCGCGUACCAUAGGAUGAGCCCAAGUGGGAUUAGGUAGUUGGUGAGGUAAAGGCUCACCAAGCCGCCGAUUUCUAGCUGGUCUGAGAGGAUGACCAGCCACACUUGGCCUUAGACACGGCCCAGACUCCUCCGGGAGGCAGCAGUGGGUAAUAUGGCGCAGUGGGGGCAACCUGCAGCAGCCAUGCCGCUUGAAUGAAGAAGGCCGUCGGGUUGUAUAGUUCUUUCGCUAGCGAGGCGUUACCUACAGGAUAAGCACCGGCUAACUCCGUGCCAGCAGCCGCGGUAAUUC
rnacentral:rRNA from 1 species